UACGGAGGGGGCGAGCGUUGUUCGGAAUCACUGGGCGUAAAGGGUGCGUAGGCGGGUCUUUAAGUCAGGGGUGAAAUCCUGGAGCUCAACUCCAGAACUGCCUUUGAUACUGAAGAUCUUGAGUUCGGGAGAGGUGAGUGGAACUGCGAGUGUAGAGGUGAAAUUCGUAGAUAUUCGCAAGAACACCAGUGGCGAAGGCGGCUCACUGGCCCGAUACUGACGCUGAGGCACGAAAGCGUGGGGAGCAAACAGG
rnacentral:rRNA from 1 species